rnacentral:sRNA from 1 species
GCUAGGUGUAGUUACGUACACCUGUAAUCCCAUGGCUUGGGAGGCUGAGGCAGGAGGAUUGUGAGUUCAAAACCAACCUCUGCAAUUUAGUGAGUCCUUAAGCAACUUAGUGAGACCCUGUCUCAA